rfam:Schistosoma curassoni strain Dakar, Senegal genome assembly, scaffold: SCTD_contig0000530
GCCCAGCUGAUGAGUCCCGAGUGGGACGAAACACGCGUCCUGGAU